GAUGAGCGCUGGCGGCGCGCCUAACACAUGCAAGUCGAACGAUUAAAGCACCUUCGGGUGUGUAUAAAGUGGCGAACGGCUGAGUAACACGUGGGCAACCUGCCCCUCUCAUUGGGAUAGCCACGGGAAACCGUGGAUAAUACCGAAUACUUCGGGACUUCCGCAUGGAAGACUCGAGAAAGCUCCGGCGGAGAGGGAUGGGCCCGCGGCCUGUUAGCUUGUUGGUGGGGUAAUGGCCUACCAAGGCAAUGAUGGGUAGCUGGGUUGAGAGACCGACCAGCCAGAUUGGGACUGAGACACGGCCCAGACUCCUACGGGAGGCAGCAGUGGGGAAUCUUGCACAAUGGGCGAAAGCCUGAUGCAGCGACGCCGCGUGCGGGAUGAAGGCCUUCGGGUUGUAAACCGCUUUCAGCAGGGACGAGGCGAAAGUGACGGUACCUGCAGAAGAAGCCCCGGCUAACUACGUG
rnacentral:rRNA from 1 species